GAGAGAGAGAAGAAUAAACGUCGUCGUUAUAUAUUGGCCUCCGGCCCUAUAUAUAUAUAUAUAUAGCAACGGUGAGAAAAGAACCCGCCUGAAAUCUGAACCUUAACGACACAGAAAUUGAAGAAUCCAGACCCUAAUUCGGGAGUUUGAGAGAAUGUUUGCAAUUGCAGCUAUUAACGAUACUGAUUCUGGAGAGCAAUGGGAACCCUUAGCUCCCACCAAAGAAGCCCAGGAAUUUCAUUUUACGCAAACUUACCACGAAGGGCUUCUCAAGUUGCAAGCCAAAGAGUAUGAUAAGGCACUCCAAUUAUUAGAAUCUGUGCUAAAGGAUCCUUUGAUAUCAAAUGCUCAGGUGGAUAGUAAUGCAAGCGAUGGCCAUCUGCAGCAGCUUAGAUUUCUGGCACUGAAAAACCUUGCCACCGUUUUCCUUCAACAAGGUUCAGCUCACUAUGAGAAUGCUCUUCACUGUUAUCUUCAAGCUGUAGAGAUUGAUACCAAAGAUUCAGUUAUCUGGAAUCAGCUGGGAACAUUGUCAUGCUCGAUGGGUUUGCUGAGUAUUUCCCGUUGGGCUUUUGAGCAAGGGCUUCUUUGCAGCCCCAAUAAUUGGAAUUGCAUGGAGAAACUUUUGGAAGUUCUUAUUGCCAUUGGUGAUGAGGUUGCCUGUCUCUCUGUCGCAGAGUUGAUUUUGAGGCACUGGCCUUCACAUUCUCGUGCUUUGCAUGUCAAAAAUACCAUUGAAGAGUCUGAGCUAGUUCCAUUUGCUCCCAGAGGUAUAGAUAAGCUGGAACCUAAACAUGUGCGGCUCAAAUUCCUUGACAAGAGAAAAGCAACAGAUGAAAAUAUUGGUGAGGGCAAGGGCAUUUCCUGUAAAAAGUUGAACAAGAAUAUAGAAUUUUGCCUUCCUGAGGCUUCAUGGGCUGCUCUUGCUGAUGCCUUUCUGGAAAUUUUACUUCCAUUAAAUGGUGGUGGUUCUGGGAUGAGGGCUGAAAAAGACUACAGAUCUGGGGAUGUUAGGUUAAAUAUACGUUUACCUUCUCGUUUGGAUAUUAUUAUGGGAUUUAAUGAAAGUAAAGGGCUGAAUCCCAUAUCUAGCGAAAGCCUGCCUGUGGGUGAUUGUAACUUUGAAAGAGCCAAUCUUGUUAAAGAAAGAGAAGCAAAUGCUUUUGAAGAACACCCUCAUGAGAGGCGGAGCACUCGCCUAGAAAGGCUUAGGAGUCGUAAACCAGGAAAAGAGGAAUUGGAUUUUGCUGCCAGUAAGGAUCUGGCCAAGGUUGUACUUCAAUUACUAGAACCUUUUAUUGUUUGCAGACUUGGAAGUAAAGAUUCUGAUCAAGAAUCUAGUCAUACUGUUUCAUGUCCUGAUCAGCCUACUUUGGAUACAGAAUAUAAGGAUGUUUCUGCAUUUGUAGAAGAAACUUCAAAAAAUUAUGGUGCGUAUCAUAUGUGCCACUUGCUUUUGGUUUGCAAAUAGGGGUUUUGCAUAUCAAGAUGCAUUUGUCAAAUUUCUGGAAUUGGAGAGGCUGUCAAGGCAUUGGGGGCAGGAUAGGACCCCUGAAUGUAGUCUUUUUCUUGCUGAACUGUGUCAUGACCUAGGAUCUUUGCCUUCAGAUGCUCUGAAGUAGCCAGAAUUCAUGUCAGAGGCAUCAUAUUAUCUUUGCAAAAUAAUUGAAUCAGUUGCUUUGGAUUACCGUUUUCACUCAAUCUGUAUGUCUGGUAAUGAAAGCUACACUUUUGUGAAGAGUUCUGAAGAUAAUAACGAAAUAUUUGCCAAAGACUCUAGUUUACAGGAUUCAUUUUUUCAUAGUUUCUUAGUGAAUGAUAAAAAUUACUUGUCGGUUUGAUACUUCUGGUUGAGUGGAAAAUUGUCUAUCUAUGAUGGAAACAAGGCAAAAGCUCUUGAAGAAUUCUGUAUUUCUUUGUCACUUUUGGUGAAGAAAGAAAAAAUGAAUGAUUCUCCUUGUUCAGUUCACCUUCCGCACCUGAAGAUCAAUAAAGAGUUAACUGUAAACAGGGUCCUUCAUGAAAUUAAUUUAUUAAAGGUUGAUUUCUUGCUUGAGAAGACUGUAGGCGAGAUGACUGAGAAAGAAAUGUACGUCGGCUGCAUAAAUUUGUUUGCUCCACUUCUAUUUUCUUACAGAACAUGGUCACCUUGGUGUACUGCCAUCACAUGCUUCUGAUAGGAAAGGUGAAGGACUCGCACGCAUUGAAUUAUCAGCAAUAGAUUUAUUAAUUCAAGCAUGUGAACAGACAAAGACAAUGGAUAUUGAGGUACAUUUGAAUUGCCACCGGUGAAAGUUGCAAAUACUGAUGGUAGCAGCUGGUAUUGAUGAAUAUGAAACUCUUCGUCAGAAGUAUGGGUUAAAUCCACUUUCUGCCAUUGAUAUCAUCUUGAAAGAAAAUCCUGGCAAACAUGGGUUGGACUUAGUGAUGGAGGAGGUGAAAGCAAUUUCACAUUGUGUCUCACAGUUGAAGAUGGAUUCAUCUCUUAAUUCUAAUGGUGUAGUCAUUCCAAUGGGCAGCAUCAGUGAUAUUCAAACUUUGCUUCUGGCAGUCAUGUGCCAUGUUGCAAUAAACUGCCUCUGUAAGAGAUCUUCUGCACCAGUGAUUGCUGAUGAAACUGAACAAAAGCAAGGAUUCUGCUUCGUUGAUUCUGGUAUUGCCUUCUGCAAAUUUGAACAUCUCAUCCCUACUGUCCCUGUCAAAACCCAAGUUGCAUUAAUUGUGGCAAUCCAUGACUUGCUUGCUGAGUAUGGACUAUGCUGUGUGGGUGAGAGGGGCAAAGGGGAGGAAGGAACAUUUCUUAGAUUUGCAAUAAAGCACCUCUUAGCCUUGGACAUGAAGCUCAAGCCCAAUUUAAACUCAUCAGACAGAGAAACAACUCAGCAUGAUAAGCAUCUUUCCCCUCAUUCUCAAAACAGAACACGUAAAAAGGAAUUAAAAUCUGAUAUGCUGGAUGUGGAGAUGGGAGGGACUGAAAUUAAUGAAUCAAGUGCUGUAGAGAAUGAUGCUUUUGGAGGAAUUACUUCUGAAAGCAUUCCAUCUCUUUUAGGCCCAGAGAAAGACAAUGCAGGUAUAGGAUGUGAAAUGCAAGGCAGUGAUGAGGGCAAGAACAAAGGAGAAAAUACCACUGAACAAUUUAGUGAAUCUAGAAAUGAACUUACUGAAGAUGAAGGGGAGGAACUUGAGUUAAUAAUUGAUGGUGCUUUGGAUCAAUGCUUUUUCUGCUUAUAUGGUCUCAAUCUUAGAUCUGAUUCGUCCUAUGAGGAUGACCUAGCCAUGCACAAAAAUACUAGUCGUGGAGAUUAUCAGACCAAGGAACAAUGUGCUGAUGUUUUUCAAUAUAUACUGCCGUAUGCAAAGGCUUCUUCUAGAACUGGAUUGGUAAAACUUCGUAGAGUGUUAAGAGCCAUUCGUAAACACUUUCCACAACCACCUGAAGAGGUUUUGAUUGGAAAUGCAAUCGAUAAGUUCUUAGAUGAUCUUAAUUUAUGUGAAGACAAACUCUCAGAGGAAGCAGGAUCCGAAGGGUAUCUUGAGACCAUAACAAAGAUAAUAUUUCCUGAUGUGGAAACUGUCAAACAGCAUAAGUCAAUGAUGGUUGGAAGCUCUGAGCCAUAUUUGGAUGUAUAUUGCAACUUAUAUUAUUUUCUAGCUCUGUCGGAGGAAAUGAGUGCAACUGAUAAGUGGCCAGGCUUUGUACUUACCAAGGAAGGUGAAGAGUUUGUACAGAAAAAUGCAAAUCUCUUCAAAUAUGAUCUUCUGUACAACCCUUUACGGUUUGAGAGUUGGCAACGGCUUGCAAAUAUAUAUGAUGAGGAGGUAGAUUUGUUGUUGAAUGAUGGAAGUAAGCACAUAAAUGUUGCAGGAUGGAGAAAGAAUGCUACUGUGCCUCAGAGAGUUGAGACAAGUCGAAGAAGGAGCAGGCGCUGUCUGUUAGUGAGUUUGGCUUUGGCAAAUCCAUCAGCUCAACAGGUACAUCUGGGAUAUAUCUUAAAUCUCAUCCCAUGAUUAUAUAAAGCACCUUACUUCUGGUAAAGGUGGCUUGCUAGAAAUGAGAUGUCAAACGGGACUACUGAGAGUUUAUUCAUUAUAGCAUUUGAGUGUGACUAUAUGGAUUUAAUAACUAUGUGAAUUAUUUGAGAUGUUUGUUUUAGGCUAAAACCAUCUUGAGGCCCCUUUACUUAUCAGGUUUUGUCUAUUAAGCCCCUUUGUUCAUAUUUUGUUGCAUUAACCCUCUUGGAUUUCAAUUUUUAUUAACACCGUGUGCUUUUUUAAUAGAUAAUAUAGAUUUAAUAGAAACAACAUUAGGUUUUCUUUCCUCCUUGGAACGAAUGUGGUUAUGGAGGAGUACCAGUUGGGUUAUUAGGUUUCAGCUUUCAGCGGUUUUAUUUGUAUAAUAAUUUUAUAACAAAUGUGAAAUUCUCUGUGGCUAUAGUGUGAGAUACACGAGUUACUGGCAUUGGUAUACUAUGACAGCCUUCAGAAUGUGGUACCAUUUUAUGAUCAGCGGUCUGUUGUGCCUGCAAAGGAUGCAGCAUGGAUAGCAUAUUGCGAGAACUCACUGAAGCAUUUUAAAAAAGCUUCCUUGCAUAAGCAGGAUUGGUCACAUGCAUUCUAUAUGGGAAAACUCUGUGAGAAGCUUGGAUACUCGUAUGAGACAUCAUUAUCAUAUUAUGAUAAGGGUAUUGCUUCGAAUCCAUUGGCCGUGGAUCCUGUCUAUAGGAUGCAUGUUUCAUGCGUAAAGUUACUUUGCUUCUAUGGAAAACAGAAUCUGGAACUCUUAAAGGUACUAUCUGGAUAUUACUUUGAUCUAUCAAUGAAGGAAGCUGCUGUGAAUGUCCUAGGUAAAUUGGCAGCUGAAAUGCCACAUUUACCGGGUGAUACAAAGGACAGGAGCACUCAAGAAGCUUCCCUGGAGAGAAAACAAGAGGAAUCAAUUCACAUGGAAGAAGUGUGGAAUAUGCUUUACAAUGAUUGCAUUUCUGCUUUAGAAAUUUGUGUUGAAGGGGAUCUCAAACAUUUUCAUAAGGCCAGAUAUAUGCUUGCUCAAGGACUAUAUAGAAGGGGUCUGAAGGGUAAUUUGGAGAGGGCAAAGGAUGAACUUUCUUUUUGUUUUAAAUCAUCCCGAUCAUCCUUCACUAUAAAUAUGUGGGAGAUUGAUAGCAUGGUUUAAAAAGGAAGGUAUGACUCAUUCCUGUUGAUACCUAUUACUAAUCCUCACAAUCUUUUGAUGGACUAACACAUGGCAGAGAAUAUGGCCUUACUCAUCAUGUCCUAGGAGAAGAUGAAUGUCAGUUCUGAAGGUGGUUUUAAAAUCCAAAUGUGUUUUUAACUCCAACACAGAAUGUCUUGGAUUGGGGUACGGGCAUGGAUAUGAGUAUGCAAUUCGUCACUUAACUAAAUAUAGGGUAUGCGAGGGUAGAUUGAGUCAAUACGUUAAUUCAGAAUGCGAUACAUUGAUUGUAUCAAUUCAAUUUGUGAUACAUAAAUUAUAAUUAAUUAGUAUAAUCUCUAUUCUAAAAACAACCAAUAAAAUAAUUUUUUUUUCAUAAUUUUUAAAAUUUUUAUUAUGUAUAUAUUUUACAACAUUUAUAUUAGUAAAAAUUUUUUUUUCAAAAAUCUAAUUUUUUCUUAUAAUAUACUAUUAAAUUUUUUUAUCAAUUAGAUUUCAAAACAUAAUAAUAUUUUGAAUAUGAUAGGCAUUAACUAAUAUUAAUACUAGAGUUGCUAGUUAAUGAUACAAGUUGUAGAGCUC
rnacentral:misc_RNA from 1 species